rnacentral:rRNA from 1 species
UACGUAGGGACCAAGCGUUGUUCGGAUUUACUGGGCGUAAAGGGCGCGUAGGCGGCCUGCCAAGUCCGGGGUGAAAGCCUCCAGCUUAACUGGAGAAGUGCCCUGGAUACUGGCGGGCUCGAGGGAGGCAGGGGUUGUGGGAACUUCCGGUGGAGCGGUGAAAUGCGUUGAUAUCGGAAGGAACGCCGGUGGCGAAAGCGCACAACUGGUCCUCUUCUGACGCUGAGGCGCGAAAGCCAGGGGAGCAAACGGG